rnacentral:rRNA from 1 species
UACAGAGGGUGCGAGCGUUGUCCGGAAUCACUGGGCGUAAAGGGCGCGUAGGUGGCUUGGUAAGCGUGUGGUGAAAGUCCGGGGCUCAACCCCGGAUCUGCCGUGCGAACUGCUGAGCUUGAGCACUGUAGAGGCAGGUGGAAUUUCGGGUGUAGCGGUGGAAUGCGUAGAUAUCCGAAAGAACACCAGUGGCGAAGGCGGCCUGCUGGGCAGUAGCUGACACUGAGGCGCGACAGCGUGGGGAGCAAAC